CUGAGAGAAUAUCCUGCUAGCUUAAACUGGUAGGGAGAGUGAGCUUCAAGCCAUGGCAGAUGCCGAGGGGCCGAGACACGGAAUAAGCCUUGGCCGAGGGGACCAGAGAAUGAGGCUAGGCAAAAGCACUGGUGAGGGCACUCCAGGACUCGGAGGCAGCUUUCCUAUUAAUGUCAAAGGAACAUCAAAGUGUGACAGAUUUCUCCAUAGAGUCCACCCCGCCCAGCUGAUGCUCCAUACUGAACAGCUUGUUCGCCUGUAACCAUGACAACC